UACAGAGGUCCCAAGCGUUGUUCGGAUUCACUGGGCGUAAAGGGUGCGUAGGUGGCGCUGUAAGUCAGAUGUGAAAUUUCGGAGCUUAACUCCGAAACUGCAUUUGAUACUGCGGUGCUUGAGGACUGGAGAGGAGAUUGGAAUUCACGGUGUAGCAGUGAAAUGCGUAGAUAUCGUGAGGAAGACCAGUGGCGAAGGCGGAUCUCUGGACAGUCCCUGACACUGAGGCACGAAGGCCAGGGGAGCAAACGGG
rnacentral:rRNA from 1 species